rnacentral:rRNA from 1 species
AUUGAACGCUGGCGGCAUGCUUUACACAUGCAAGUCGAACGGUAACAGGGUGCUUGCACCGCUGACGAGUGGCGAACGGGUGAGUAAUGCGUCGGAACGUGCCGAGUAGUGGGGGAUAACGCAGCGAAAGUUGUGCUAAUACCGCAUACGUACUGAGGUAGAAAGUGGGGGACCUUCGGGCCUCACGCUAUUCGAGCGGCCGACGUCUGAUUAGCUAGUAGGUGAGGUAAAGGCCCACCUAGGCGACGAUCAGUAGCGGGUCUGAGAGGAUGAUCCGCCACACUGGGACUGAGACACGGCCCAGACUCCUACGGGAGGCAGUAGUGGGGAAUUUUGGACAAUGGGCGCAAGCCUGAUCCAGCCAUGCCGCGUGCAGGAUGAAGGCCUUCGGGUUGUAAACUGCUUUUGUACGGAACGAAACGGCUCUUUCUAAUAAAGAGGGCUAAUGACGGUACCGUAAGAAUAAGCACCGGCUAACUACGUGCCAGCCGCCGCCGUAACAC